rnacentral:misc_RNA from 1 species
GCCUUUGUGCUUUUUGAUGUAUCUAAAUCUGAAUUCGUAUAUGUGUGUUCUUGCUGGUUGUGAGAUUGAUGUGAAGUAUUCAACUGUUUUUCACUUGUUAAUUAGGGCUGCUGUUUAGAUUGUUUAGAUGUUGAGACUGUUUUAAGAUUUUAAAAUGAUUUUUUUCCCUCUUAAGUUGUGUAUUAACUUUUAUCUGAUUUCUCGUGGUACUCAGUUAAUGCUAUUCAUAAUUAGGGUUUUAAAAGGGAA